CACUCCUACGGGAGGCAGCAGUGGGGAAUAUUGGACAAUGGGCGCAAGCCUGAUCCAGCCAUGCCGCGUGAGUGAUGAAGGCCCUAGGGUUGUAAAGCUCUUUCACCGGUGAAGAUAAUGACGGUAACCGGAGAAGAAGCCCCGGCUAACUUCGUGCCAGCAGCCGCGGUAAUACGAAGGGGGCUAGCGUUGUUCGGAUUUACUGGGCGUAAAGCGCACGUAGGCGGACUAUUAAGUCAGGGGUGAAAUCCCGGGGCUCAACCCCGGAACUGCCUUUGAUACUGGUAGUCUUGAGUUCGAGAGAGGUGAGUGGAAUUCCGAGUGUAGAGGUGAAAUUCGUAGAUAUUCGGAGGAACACCAGUGGCGAAGGCGGCUCACUGGCUCGAUACUGACGCUGAGGUGCGAAAGCGUGGGGAGCAAACAGGAUUAGAUACCCGAGUAGUCCCAUG
rnacentral:rRNA from 1 species